rnacentral:misc_RNA from 1 species
GUGAGUCAUCGAAUCUUUGAACGCACAUUGCGCCUGCUGGUAUUCCGGUAGGCAUGCCUGUUUGAGCGUCAGCAAAACCUCUCAGCGAUAAUUUUAUUGUUGGUUGUGGGUGGAGAGUAUGGCCUUUGGCUACUCUUCCCCUUAAACUUGCUGCACGACCGCAAGCUUAUGCUAGGUUAAUGGAGUGGUGUUUACAAUAUUCCAGCUGCCAGCGAAGUGAACGGCGCUAAAUCUGAUGUUGCUUUACUGCAACAACUGAAGUUUGACCUCAAAUCAGACAAGGAUACCCGCUGAACUUAA